GCUUGUCUCAAAGAUUAAGCCAUGCAUGUCUAAGUAUAAAUAACUACACAGUAAAACUGCGAAUGGCUCAUUAAAACAGUUAUAGUUUAUUUGAUACAAAAAAUGGAUAACUGUAGAAAAACUAGAGCUAAUACAUGCCGUAGCCGCAAGGUUGUAUUUAUUAGAUAUACCCAGUAGGUGAUUCAUAAUAACUAUGCAAAUCGUAACUAUGUUGCGAUAAAUCAUUCAAGUUUCUGCCCUAUCAGCUUUCGAUGGUAGUGUAUUGGACUACCAUGGCUUUCACGGGUAACGGAGAAUUAGGGUUCGAUUCCGGAGAAGGAGCCUGAGAAACGGCUACUACAUCUAAGGAAGGCAGCAGG
rnacentral:rRNA from 1 species